UAGCGUUAGGCUAAGAUUGCAGUAUCCGUGUUUUGUCGACGCCAUUUGAUGUCCACCUAAUUGUCGUCUACUUCUGGCGUCGACAAUUCAGCCAAAUACCACCUGCUCUGCACAUGGCCAAGGAAAAGAAACCCGCCCCACUCCUCUUUCUCUUUCUUAAUCAUCUUCUACUUUUCUCUCAACCCUAACCCCCAACAACUCUCUCCCUUCUCAGCCUCAAAAGUUCUCGAUCUACUCCGCGCUCGAAGAAUUUGCCGCAAUUAUAAGAAUUACAACAAGCUGUAAACAAAAUUCAAACAUUUUGAGUUAAUGAAUUUUUGUUCCAGAUCGAUCUAACAAAACAAAAUUCUUUGCCGAAAAUUCCAUCUCGAUUUUAAGGUAUAGCUGGAGAUAUAUGCUUUAACCAUCUUAUCAAGGUACUUUGCAACAUUUGAGACUUUUUUGGCGAGAUUUGCUAUUGUGUGGCAAUUAGGUGUUCUCUUAAGCCCAAUUAAAUCUGACAAAAAGUUAGUUUUCCGGAGUUUCUAAUUCACAAAAAGUGCAGCAUGAGGUUUAUUAUUCCUUCAAGAAAUUUGCCGAAGAAGUUGUUAACAUGACUUCUUUUAGAAGAAGGAAAAGUUUGAAUUUCUCAUUUCCUAUGCCAAAUAAGUUUUCAUACUGGUGUUAUGAUUCUAACUUUUAUUUAACAAAGUAACUGGUUUUUAUCUGUUAUUGGAUGCUGGAGUUUUUGAUGCAUCUUAGUUGCAUGUUGUACAAUAUAUGAAAAUAGUCUAACUUUCAACCAGCAGUAGACAAUAGCUGUUAGGUUUCAGGUUGUGGUAAAUUUUACCUCAAGUAGUUUAUACCUAAAGAAUUCAAUAGAUUUUGGUUGGGCCACAUCCAUGCUCCUUUAUUAGUUCUAAAGACAAACUUUGGUGGGGACCUGGUGCAGAUAUUAACAUGGAUUAUGUUUUAGCAAGAUAUAGUUUAAUUUGAUUAAAAUUAUAUUCUAUUAUACUUGCACAGAUUUCUCUCCCCCAUUUCCCUCUUAAAAUGAUGCUUGAUAUGGAUUCUUUGCUUUUGAAUUAAAUUCCGUUGGCUGCAGAUUUGAUUUUCGGGGUUUGGUGUACUGAUUUUGUGGUUUUGACUGAAUAAAUUGAGGGUUUAUCCAUUUCCAGCAUGUUCUUGGCUGAAUAAGUUGUUUCUAUAAGCAGUGUUGGGAAUGGAAUUAUGUUAUUUUGAUAUAACAUUUUACUUUGCAGGUUUCCUGGCUUCAAAUUAUUCAUGUACUUCCGCUCUUGUGUGAACUUUUGGAUGAGUAUGGAAGGAAACCGCUUCUCUGUUUGACCAUGUCUACUUCCAUUUUCCUAUUGAUCGUCCAACGUGAUAAGGAGCAAGAUGAGAAUGAAGGAAAAGACCCACUUGAGUUUCAUAUAAGCUACUACUACCACUAUUAUAGAUCCUAGUUUUUCUAGGUUUUAGUUAUUCUGUUUAGUAGAUACAAUUUGUAUUUUUGAUGAUCUUUUGGAAUAUUUAGUUAGUAACAUUUAUAUACGAUGGAAUUUGGUUAGUAACAUUAUCAUGUACUAUGGAUUUUGGUUAAUUAGUAACAUUAUCGUGUACGAUGGAUUUUAAUUAUGUACUUCUACAUUUGUAUAAGGCAA